rnacentral:rRNA from 1 species
GACGAACGCUGGCGGCGUGCUUAACACAUGCAAGUCGAACGGAAAGGCCUCUUUCGGGGGGUACUCGUGUGGCGAACGGGUGAGUAACACGUGAGUAACCUGCCCUUGACUUUGGGAUAACUUCAGGAAACUGGGGCUAAUACCGGAUAGGAGCUCCUGCUGCAUGGUGGGGGUUGGAAAGUUUCGGCGGUUGGGGAUGGACUCGCGGCUUAUCAGCUUGUUGGUGGGGUAGUGGCUUACCAAGGCUUUGACGGGUAGCCGGCCUGAGAGGGUGACCGGCCACAUUGGGACUGAGAUACGGCCCAGACUCCUACGGGAGGCAGCAGUGGGGAAUAUUGCACAAUGGGUGGAAGCCUGAUGCAGCAACGCCGUGUGCGGGAGGACGGCCUUCGGGUUGGAAACCGCUUUCGCUCAUGACGAAGCUUUGUGUGACGGUAGUGGGUAAAGAAGCACCGGCUAACUACGUG